rnacentral:misc_RNA from 1 species
AGAAAUAAUACAUAUGGAGCAUUCAGUUCACUGCCACCCAGAACACAUCAAAAAGAAAGGAGCCACCAUCUAAAAGAAUCGAAAAAUUCAUAUCUGAAGAUAAUAAUUUAAUUGAUCAAGUCCACAAAGGGCAAUCAGCAUAGUUAUAAUUAAUUAUCAUACACAGAAAGAAAGUAUCUUCUUCAAUUAGACAGUUGAAACAUUACACAGAGAAUUUCACACCUUCAU